UAUGCCUUUGACAUAUGAGAAAUAUGAAACUUGGGAAUAUGUGAGACACAAAGGACCAAAGGAAGGAAGAUAGGAAGAAAAAACCCGUCAGACUUGAAUGGCACUAAGAUGUAAUAAAGACUGAAAAUAACUGGCCCAUCCGCGUUGUCCCUUAUGGCUGUGUGGAGAGCAGCGUUGAGAGGGCGUCUGAAGCUGAGUGCGCUGCAGCGGGAGCACUGCUGUUAGUGAGUCGUGACCAGGCUUCAGUGGAUUUUCAGAUUUCUAGGGUUGCUGCAACAAAUUACUACAAACUCUGAAAAUGUGGGCAUUUGGAGUCCAAGAAGAGAGCCCUUACUGGGGAGGUGAAUCAGCCGACUCCUUGAUAUUGGAUUUCCCAGCCUCCAGAAUUCUGGAAUGGAGACGAGACUAUAGAUCUAGCUGACAACUGAGACCACAAGAAUUACAGCCACACACCAGUUUGACAGAAUGGAAUCCAUCAAGGUGACGGGCAGGCCCUGGUUUUGGUUGUCCCGGGAGACCUGGGUGUCUUCACUACGGCCACUCCCGCUGCGCUGAUGCAGCACAGGGCUGGAUGACUUACAUUCCGAACAUACCGCCUUGGUCAGCUGAGAUCUGCAGUUGACCCUUGAACAGCAUGGGUUUGAACUGCUUGGACCCAUUUGUAUACGGAUUUUUUUCAACAGCUAUACAGAAAUAUAUGUGUUGAACAUCAUGUGUAAAACUUGUUCUGAAGUGGACAGCCGACACUUACACAGA